GGGGAUAUAGCUCAGUUGGUAGAGUGCCUGCCUAGCAUUCAUAAGUCCCUGGGUUCAAUCCCCAGCACCACCA
rfam:Ictidomys tridecemlineatus contig008456, whole genome shotgun sequence.